GACGGGAUAACAGUGGGAAACCACUGCUAAAACCCGAUGUGCCGGGAGGUGAAAUAUUAAUAGCCUGAAGAAGAGCUCGCGUCUGAUUAGCUAGAUGGUGGGGUAAGAGCCUACCAUGGCGACGAUCAGUAGCUGGUCUGAGAGGAUGAGCAGCCACACUGGGACUGAGACACGGCCCAGACUCCUACGGGAGGCAGCAGUGGGGAAUUUUCCGCAAUGGGCGAAAGCCUGACGGAGCAACGCCGCGUGAGGGAGGAAGGUCUUUGGAUUGUCAACCUCUUUUCUCAAGGAAGAAAAAAAUGACGGUACUUGAGGAAGAAGCAUCGGCUAACUCCGUGCCAGCAGCCGCGGUAAUACGGAGGAUGCAAGCGUUAUCCGGAAUCAUUGGGCGUAAAGCGUCCGCAGGUGGUGUGGUAAGUCUGGGGUCAAAGACAGAAGCUCAACUUCUGAAGGGCCCUUGAAACUGCCAGACUAGAGGCAGGUAGGGGUAGCAGGAAUUCCCAGUGUAGCGGUGAAAUGCGUAGAGAUUGGGAAGAACAUCGGUGGCGAAAGCGUGCUACUGGGCUUAGCCUGACACUGAGGACGAAAGC
rnacentral:rRNA from 1 species